rnacentral:rRNA from 1 species
AAUUUUGGACAAUGGGGGAAAACCUGAUCCAGCCCUGCCGCGUGAGUGAUGAGGGCCCUAUGGUUGUAAAGCUCUUUCACCGGUGAAGCUAAUGACGUGAACAGGAGAAGAAACCCCGGCUAACUUCGUGCCAGCAGCCGCGGUAAUAAGAAGGGGGCCAGCGUUGUUCGGAAUUACUGGGCGUAAAGCGAACGUAGGCGGAUCGGUCAGUUAGGGGUGAAAUCCCGGGGCUCAACCCCGGAACUGCCUUUAAUACUGGCGGUCUAGAGUCCGAGAGAGGUAAGUGGAAUUCCGAGUGUAGAGGUGAAAUUCGUAGAUAUUCGGAGGAACACCAGUGGCGAAGGCGGCUCACUGGCUCGGUACUGACGCUGAGGUGCGAAAGCGUGGGGAGCAAACA